rnacentral:rRNA from 1 species
GAGCUUGCUCCCCGGGUGACGAGUGGCGGACGGGUGAGUAAUGUCUGGGGAUCUGCCCGAUGGAGGGGGAUAACUACUGGAAACGGUAGCUAAUACCGCAUAACCUCGAAAGAGCAAAGUGGGGGACCUUCGGGCCUCACACCAUCGGAUGAACCCAGAUGGGAUUAGCUAGUAGGUGGGGUAACGGCUCACCUAGGCGACGAUCCCUAGCUGGUCUGAGAGGAUGACCAGCCACACUGGAACUGAGACACGGUCCAGACUCCUACGGGAGGCAGCAGUGGGGAAUAUUGCACAAUGGGCGCAAGCCUGAUGCAGCCAUGCCGCGUGUAUGAAGAAGGCCUUCGGGUUGUAAAGUACUUUCAGCGGGGAGGAAGGGAUGAAGGUUAAUAACCUUCGUCAUUGACGUUACCCGCAGAAGAAGCACCGGCUAACUCCGUGCCAGCAGCCGCGGUAAUACGGAGGGUGCAAGCGUUAAUCGGAAUUACUGGGCGUAAAGCGCACGCAGGCGGUUUGUUAAGUCAGAUGUGAAAUCCCCGGGCUCAACCUGGGAACUGCAUUUGAAACUGGCAAGCUUGAGUCUCGUAGAGGGGG